AAGAUUUUAUUAAGUUUUAUAGUUGUAUUUUGGCCACAUCUUUUUGUACAAGUCAUACAUACGUGAAACACUUUAUAAGACUCAGAAAAAACAGAAUUCACGCGGUCAAUGACCAUUGCAUGAUCGGAAUGCUUCGAUUGAUGGUAUUCCUGACAUUUAAUAUCGUUCGGAGCACCUCUAGAUAUACUGAUUUUCUCGGCAAUGAGAAUUAGUUAAAGCCAUAGGUGAUACAAGGUGCUCCGUACAUAUUUUGGCCACAUCUUUUUGUACAAGUCAUACAUACGUGAAACACUUUAUAAGACUCAGAAAAAACAGAAUUCACGCGGUCAAUGACCAUUGCAUGAUCGGAAUGCUUCGAUUGAUGGUAUUCCUGACAUUUAAUAUCGUUCGGAGCACCUCUAGAUAUACUGAUUUUCUCGGCAAUGAGAAUUAGUUAAAGCCAUAGGUGAUACAAGGUGCUCCGUACAUAUUUUGGCCACAUCUUUUUGUACAAGUCAUACAUACGUGAAACACUUUAUAAGACUCAGAAAAAACAGAAUUCACGCGGUCAAUGACCAUUGCAUGAUCGGAAUGCUUCGAUUGAUGGUAUUCCUGACAUUUAAUAUCGUUCGGAGCACCUCUAGAUAUACUGAUUUUCUCGGCAAUGAGAAUUAGUUAAAGCCAUAGGUGAUACAAGGUGCUCCGUACAUAUUAAUUCAACCGAAGCUCUGUCAUCACCAAAUGCAGAUAUGGAAUGUUUGGCAUUGAUUGGUCACGUGAUUGUAUAAAGCUUAAUUGGAUGGUUUCCAAAUCCUCCAGCAUAGAAUGAACGGGGCCAUUUUGGUUCAGUGGUAAGUGCGAUGAAAUAUCACAGGCAUCAUGACUACAAAUGUUUGUGUUGUAAAUAUUGUCUUAAGACUCUAAAUGCAACAAAAUCACCAAUGUAGGUAUUUGACUAAACCAUAAUGGCGUCACAAUAUGGCCUCGACACAGCGCUAUCAUGUCGAGGCACCUGAGGUCAACACCAUGACACGACAGUUGAAGUAUUACUCUACCAUGUAUGAUGUUAAUCGACUUAUCAAAUUUUCAUAAAUCUUUCACUAAAUGAUAAGGAACAGAUAUAUGCCAAUGAUAUUUCUUCGCGUUUAAGGGUACACCUGACCAGGCAGCCACUCAUUCUUAUUUGGAAAACACUUUUCCAUGACAAUUUGAUAGUUUAAAAUAAUGUUUUACGAAUUAUGAAAUGAAAAAAGAAUCACACGAUUAAUGUUAACCUUUACAAUGGAUGUAGUGAGUGUUUCUCCAUUAACGAUUUAAAUCAUUGAAACUAUUGUUAUCAGAACUACAAACAACUACUAAAUGUUAUUAACUUCACACUGCGAUUAAAUUACGGUUGCUACUAGAGAGUAUAUAAAAACUCCGAAGAAUAACGGAAGUUGUCUUUCGUGGUUAUAAAAAAAUGGUUCAACUGAUCAAGCGAUAAAUCUUGAACUGUGAAACACGUUGUCAAUAUAAAACACCUCAAAGUGAAGUCUCAAUGAAUAGUCCUUCAAUGAUACUAACAUUUCCGGUAGAUACUUGAGUUUUUGAAAUCGUCCACUUAACGUAACCAUUAUAAGAUAAGGGUAUAGAUCCGAGGGUGUAAGCGUCAUGUAGUCUGGAGUAAGUAAUUAUAUAACCUCACACGUGCCUCGAUGUGUGAAUAUGCUCCGAAUAUUGUCAACCCGGGACCCCAAUCUUGUUUCAGCACGGGUCCACAUAACAAAACUAACAUUUAACAUUGAAUUCAUAAAAAAUAUAUGAUAACAAAUAGUAACAUACUCGAUUAUCCAAAGAGCAAGUUAAUAGUUAGGUUUGUCACUGAAACAGCACAAGAAUUCGACAACAGCAAUUAUCACAGAAUGCUUCAAACUUCGGGUUUAAAUGGUGCGACACGUGACUCUACGGGUUUAAAUAGUUCGUCUCGAAACGUGACUCUAUGUCAAACUUCUGUCAAACACCAAUGACUUCGAUUUCUAGAUCAUCAAAAUUCAGCUCUGACCUAAAAACGAAACCAAAAAAUAUGCAAAAUAGUCCACUCUCGGUGGCUCGGCAGCUCCAUUGAGCAUGGUACCUACAAAUCGCCCUCUAACCCCUACCUAACUUUUUCCAUAAAACUUACCCGUAUUAAGGUUUCGAAACCAGAUUUUGGCGUUUUACUUUAAUUGAUAGAUGCACUUUUUCAAAAUCAAUUAAAUUUAACUUUAAAUAAAAACAACAUAUUUCCCAACACAUGAAAGCGAUAUAAAUAAAUAAAAAAAUGCACCUAGUAGGUGUGUGAUAAUGUGUUCUGGUGUAUCGUGUUUAUAUACCUAUAACACAGGAGUCCUGUCAACAUUUAUGCACACAGGAGUCCUGUCAACAUUUAUACACACAGGAGUCCUGUAAACAUUUAAACACAGGAGACCUGUCAACAUUUAUACACACAGGAGACCUGUCAACAUUUAUACACCCAGGAGACCUGUCAACAUCUAUGCACACAGGAGACCUGUCAACAUUUAAACACACAGGAGUCCUGUCAACAUUUAUGCACACAGGAGUUCUGUCAACAUUUAAACACACAGGAGUCCUGUCAACAUUUAUACACACAGGAGUCCUGUCAACAUUUAUACACACAGGAGACCUGUCAACAUUUAUACACCCAGGAGUCCUGUCAACAUUUACACAUAAAUACAGAUAUUUUGACAGAAUAUGACAUAAAUAAUGAAUCGAUGACAGCAAGGACAUUAUUAUUUUAUGAAUAGUUCAUUAAUAAUCGGUAUGUGAGCACAACAAAAUCAUCAUGUCAGCACAACAACAACAGGCUCAAAGGGCUUGUAUCGCUCACCUGGUAUUAAUAUCACAUAAAAUUCCAGGCUUAAUACUUGUACAGUGUAACAUUAGCUAUGACUCUUAAUCAUUUUACACAUUUGACCCAGAGAUCUUGACAUUCUAGCAAGUCAUUUCGAUUUGAACAUACUGGAUUGCCCUUUAUACCAGUAAGCUACUGGCCAGAUAGCAUCACCCUGUUUUGUUUUGGUUAUUGAGAAGACAUCUUUUAAAGUUGUUACCCAUUUGACUAUGUGAUCGUGAGUCACUGUCAUUCACAUGAACAAAUUGAGAGCUCUUAUUUCCAGCAUGCGACUGGCCAAAUACCAUAACCUUGGGCCUUUAAGGGUGAAUGUUUUCAAAACAUUUGAUCCCUGUGUCUUUCAAACAAAAUUCGUAGCUCUUCAUCUGAGCAUAUUACUGGGCAAAAUUUAGAUGAAGUAGUUUAAAUAUGUUAAUACAUCUGACCCGUACCCUUGACAGUGGAUCGGGGUCAUUCGUUUGAUUAAAUUCUGCUGUCACUCAUCCUAGUAUGCUACUCCACAACCAGGAUCUUUUGGAUCUUCAGAAGUCGACCAAAGAAAGCAUUUAAGACCGGACGGACGACGGAGGCCGCGCCACGUCACAAGCUCACGUGGACCUUCCGGCAAGGCGAACAAGAAAUAUCGUCAAGUGUGCACAAAAAAUACAUCGUCAUUUAACCAAACUUCAUAAUACAAAUGUAAUGCAUCUGGUGUAAUAUACUUUUAAAAAGUCAUAAAAAGACAAAUAUUGAUUGUUCAAUCAUAAUGCUAACUUUGAACAAGAGUUAGGUGAAAAAAUAACACCAAAGACUUAUAUAUUGCAUAAGGUAUGUCUUCCUGAGUCAUGGUAAUGAUAUAGAUAACUUCUGCCCUAUAGUAUUUCUCUCCUGGUGGAAUAUGAUUACAUCAUCGAACUGUACGAGUUAUACCCCUUCCCGAUAGGUAUCGAUAGUUGUUUUAUAAUAAU